rnacentral:rRNA from 1 species
GACGAACGCUGGCGGCGUGCUUAACACAUGCAAGUCGAACGGAAAGGCCCUGCUUUUGUGGGGUGCUCGAGUGGCGAACGGGUGAGUAACACGUGAGUAACCUGCCCUUGACUUUGGGAUAACUUCAGGAAACUGGGGCUAAUACCGGAUAGGAGCUCCUGCUGCAUGGUGGGGGUUGGAAAGUUUCGGCGGUUGGGGAUGGACUCGCGGCUUAUCAGCUUGUUGGUGGGGUAGUGGCUUACCAAGGCUUUGACGGGUAGCCGGCCUGAGAGGGUGACCGGCAAUAUGGGGAAUGGGAUACGGCCCAGACUCCUACGGGGGGAAGGAGGGGGGAAUUUUGAAAAAGGGGCGGAAGCCUGAUGCAGAACCGCCGGGGGGGGGAUGAGGGCCUUGGGGUUGUAAACCGCUUUCGCCUGGGACGAAGGGUGGGGGAGGGAAAUGGGUAAAGAAGCACCGGCUAACUACGU